rnacentral:rRNA from 1 species
GCGCAGCAGUCGAGAAUCCUUCGCAAUGCGGGAAACCGCGACGAGGGACUCCCAGUGCCUACGCUCAGCGUAGGCUGCUCCCGAGCCUAGAAAGCUCAGGGAGUAAGGGCUGGGUAAGCCGGGUGCCAGCCGCCGCGGUAAUACCCGCAGCCCGAGUGGUGGCCACUAUUAUUGGGCCUAAAGCGUCCGUAGCCGGCCCGGUAAAUGCCUGGGUAAAUCGUGAGGCCUAACCUCACGAAUUCCGGGUAGACUGCCGGGCUAGGGACCGGAGGAGGGAGAGGGUACUCCAGGGGUAGGGGUGAAAUCCUGUAAAUCCCUGGAGGACCACCGGUGGCGAAGGCGCUCUCCUAGGACGGGUCCGACGGUGAGGGACGAAAGCCAGGGGAGCGAACCGGAUUAGAUACCCGUGUAGU